UUGAACGCUGGCGGCAGGCCUAACACAUGCAAGUCGAGCGGUAGCACAGAGAGCUUGCUCUCGGGUGACGAGCGGCGGACGGGUGAGUAAUGUCUGGGAAACUGCCUGAUGGAGGGGGAUAACUACUGGAAACGGUAGCUAAUACCGCAUAAUGUCGCAAGACCAAAGUGGGGGACCUUCGGGCCUCAUGCCAUCAGAUGUGCCCAGAUGGGAUUAGCUAGUAGGUGGGGUAACGGCUCACCUAGGCGACGAUCCCUAGCUGGUCUGAGAGGAUGACCAGCCACACUGGAACUGAGACACGGUCCAGACUCCUACGGGAGGCAGCAGUGGGGAAUAUUGCACAAUGGGCGCAAGCCUGAUGCAGCCAUGCCGCGUGUGUGAAGAAGGCCUUCGGGUUGUAAAGCACUUUCAGCGGGGAGGAAGGCGUUAAGGUUAAUAACCUUGGCGAUUGACGUUACCCGCAGAAGAAGCACCGGCUAACUCCGUGCCAGCAGCCGCGGUAAUACGGAGGGUGCAAGCGUUAAUCGGAAUUACUGGGCGUAAAGCGCACGCAGGCGGUCUGUCAAGUCGGAUGUGAAAUCCCCGGGCUCAACCUGGGAACUGCAUUCGAAACUGGCAGGCUAGAGUCUUGUAGAGGGGGGUAGAAUUCCAGGUGUAGCGGUGAAAUGCGUAGAGAUCUGGAGGAAUACCGGUGGCGAAGGCGGCCCCCUGGACAAAGACUGACGCUCAGGUGCGAAAGCGUGGGGAGCAAACAGGAUUAGAUACCCUGGUAGUCCACGCCGUAAACGAUGUCGAUUUGGAGGUUGUGCCCUUGUGGCGUGGCUUCCGGAGCUAACGCGUUAAGUCGACCGCCUGGGGAGUACGGCCGCAAGGUUAAAACUCAAAUGAAUUGACGGGGGCCCGCACAAGCGGUGGAGCAUGUGGUUUAAUUCGAUGCAACGCGAAGAACCUUACCUGGUCUUGACAUCCACAGAACUUUCCAGAGAUGGAUUGGUGCCUUCGGGAACUGUGAGACAGGUGCUGCAUGGCUGUCGUCAGCUCGUGUUGUGAAAUGUUGGGUUAAGUCCCGCAACGAGCGCAACCCUUAUCCUUUGUUGCCAGCGGUUAGGCCGGGAACUCAAAGGAGACUGCCAGUGAUAAACUGGAGGAAGGUGGGGAUGACGUCAAGUCAUCAUGGCCCUUACGACCAGGGCUACACACGUGCUACAAUGGCAUAUACAAAGAGAAGCGACCUCGCGAGAGCAAGCGGACCUCAUAAAGUAUGUCGUAGUCCGGAUUGGAGUCUGCAACUCGACUCCAUGAAGUCGGAAUCGCUAGUAAUCGUAGAUCAGAAUGCUACGGUGAAUACGUUCCCGGGCCUUGUACACACCGCCCGUCACACCAUGGGGGUGGGUUGCAAAAGAAGUAGGUAGCUUAACCUUCGGGAGGGCGCUUACCACUUUGUGAUUCAUGACUGGGGUG
rnacentral:rRNA from 1 species